rnacentral:rRNA from 2 species
UGGAUCCAGAACUUUGAUUAUGGCUCAGGACGAACGCUGGCGGCGCGCCUAACACAUGCAAGUCGAACGAGAGAUGAGGAGCUUGCUCUUCAAAUCGAGUGGCGAACGGGUGAGUAACGCGUGAGGAACCUGCCUCAAAGAGGGGGACAACAGUUGGAAACGACUGCUAAUACCGCAUAAGCCCACGGCUCGGCAUCGAGCAGAGGGAAAAGGAGCAAUCCGCUUUGAGAUGGCCUCGCGUCCGAUUAGCUAGUUGGUGAGGUAACGGCCCACCAAGGCGACGAUCGGUAGCCGGACUGAGAGGUUGAACGGCCACAUUGGGACUGAGACACGGCCCAGACUCCUACGGGAGGCAGCAGUGGGGAAUAUUGCACAAUGGGGGAAACCCUGAUGCAGCGACGCCGCGUGGAGGAAGAAGGUCUUCGGAUUGUAAACUCCUGUUGUUGAGGAAGAUAAUGACGGUACUCAACAAGGAAGUGACGGCUAACUACGUGCCAGCAGCCGCGGUAAAACGUAGGUCACAAGCGUUGUCCGGAAUUACUGGGUGUAAAGGGAGCGCAGGCGGGAGAACAAGUUGGAAGUGAAAUCCAUGGGCUCAACCCAUGAACUGCUUUCAAAACUGUUUUUCUUGAGUAGUGCAGAGGUAGGCGGAAUUCCCGGUGUAGCGGUGGAAUGCGUAGAUAUCGGGAGGAACACCAGUGGCGAAGGCGGCCUACUGGGCACCAACUGACGCUGAGGCUCGAAAGUGUGGGUAGCAAACAGGAUUAGAUACCCUGGUAGUCCACACCGUAAACGAUGAUUACUAGGUGUUGGAGGAUUGACCCCUUCAGUGCCGCAGUUAACACAAUAAGUAAUCCACCUGGGGAGUACGACCGCAAGGUUGCAA